AGGCCUUUUUCCAAAAAAGACGUACAGAUAGGCCAACAGACAUAUGGAAAGAUGCUCAAAGUCACUAAUGGUCAGGGAAAUGGAAAUCCAAACCACAAUCAGAUAUCACCUUAUACUUGUUAGAAUGACUAAAAUCAACAACA